AAACUUUCAACAACGGAUCUCUUGGUUCUGGCAUCGAUGAAGAACGCAGCGAAAUGCGAUAAGUAAUGUGAAUUGCAGAAUUCAGUGAAUCAUCGAAUCUUUGAACGCACAUUGCGCCCGCUAGUAUUCUNGGCGGGCAUGCCUGUCCGAGCGUCAUUU
rnacentral:rRNA from 1 species